rnacentral:rRNA from 1 species
AACGAACGCUGGCGGCGUGGCUAAGGCAUGCAAGUCGAGCGGAUCUAUCCAACGGGUAACUGGAGGGUAGAUUAGCGGCGGACGGGUGAGGAAUACAUGGACAACGUACCCUAGACUCAGGGAUAGCGGCGGGGAAACCCUUUGCGAAAGUGCCGGUAAUACCUGAUGACCUCGUAGGAUCGCAUGAUCCAUCGAGCAAAGCUCCGACGGUCUGGGAUCGGUUCAUGUCCAUCAGCUAGUUGGCGGGGUAACGGCCCACCAAGGCGGCGACGGGUACCGGGUGGUGAGAGCAUUGACCCGGCACAUCGGAACUGAGACACGGUCCGGACACCUACGGGU